UUACAGGUGUCAUUAGAUAGUUGUUGACGUGUUAAUAAUUACAUUAUACAUAUAAUUUUCAUAAAAUAUUGUAACCACUUACAAUGUUGUUUGAUGUAUUUAAAUUUUAAUAUGCUAAAUACCCAUACAAUGUUGUAACCUGUAACCACUUAACCAGCACAUAAACUGAUGAUGUUUAAUGCAUUUACCCUAUAGAACUCGGGAAGAGAAGAGGUCACGGGCACAGUGCCCGAGGCAAACCAAACAUGCCAACAGCGCUAUAAUUCACAUAACCAUACGUCAUAGCCUUGUCCUCGCUAUUUGAGGUUGGCUUUGAAGCAACUUCUCAAGAUUGCUUGGUAAAAGGUUAAUGACAGGUCGCAUACUUGACAUCAAUCCUCUAACCGAGCUGGGGAUUGGCUGGUCUCUCACUACAAUUUACAAACUUAUAUGAGUUGUAUAUGCAUAAGUAGGAAAUUCUCUAAUGUCAACAGAACUAAAACAAAUCUACAUCAAUAGCAUAUGAAAGUAGCACCGAAUGAUUAACUAUGUCAAUAGCAAGCAUAAGUAAGCACCAAAAGAUCAUUCAAACAGCUAACUUGCUUUCGCAUCAUUCUGGUAUGUAUUUGAAAAA